CUUUUCAGGCUCAAGCCAUGAGGUUGAGACCAGCUCUUGAGCAAGCUGUCCCUGCGGGUGUGCUCCCAGGCACACAACAACAGCUGUCCUGGGCUGUGUCCCUUUGAACUGACAUUUGAUUCACUGACUUCUACUGAGAUAAACAUCAUUAAGCCAGACAUAAUAAAAACCCAGUUUCAAUACAUAAAACUGCUCAAGAGAGACAGUAGACGACAAAGAGUUUCUGGAAGGAGCUACAAAAUUGGUCCAUAGCUUCGGGAUGAAGUGACUUUUUUUUAUGAACUCCAUCUAAUUGUGUCCUACAUGGAAACACCACAGCAGAACUUUGGGAGCUCAGGCUCCAUCAACUGCAUGUGAUGUUCAGACUCCACUCAACUUUUCAGUUGGCACCAGGCCACAGAGAGAACGGCCGUAUGCUAUUAGAAGGAAAAAUGCAUGCACCUUUACCUAUCCAUUUGACUGUCCACCCUCCACGGGAGCUGUGAUAUGCUCUGUGACGCUUCCAUUAGAGGAAUGCAGGACUCCCUCCCCAGGGAUAACGUUUGUCACAUUGCCAGCUCUGUUCUGCCACAUAUGUUUCCCCUCCUGUUUGACAAGCAGGAUCUCUCUAUUGCGAGGAGCAAAAACCACUUCAGUUAAUGCAUGAAGAAAGGGGAUCUUUGGAGUAACCAUAGAAUCAAGGAUAAAUGAUGUGCCCAAGGUCACACAGCUGGGAUGGAGUGGAAGAGAGAAGAGAAAAAUAAGGACUUACAGCAUGGAAGUCAGCCAGCUCCCAGGUGUGUGCUAUGUGCUCUUUUCUCUGGACUAUCUUCAUUACUGUCCCAGAUUUGAGGCAUUCUCAGCACAAGAAAAAGCUUUCAGCUUCUGUUCAGCUUCUUUUCAGGCCUCCUGAAGCUGGGUGCUCUUAGAAGGCUCCUCUUCGGUUAACUGAAGUGUUACUAUAGCAACAACAACACUGAAAACCAGAAUAGGAUGUUACACCCACAGACUCAGGUGUACAAACAUGUAACUUUAUUUUCUUAUAACUUAAGUUAACUUCUGACCUCAGGCCUUUAUUCUGCCUAAUCCAAGAAAUGUUAUUCGGGGCACACUUAAGCACAUUCAACAAAAUUCAGUCUUUCUCAGACCAUUUUGAUUUAAAAGUUACUAACUUGGGAUGGUCUCACCUUUCCAAGAAUGGGGUCAUAAGAUGAUGGGUGGUAUCAGGCUGAAGUUCUUUGGACCUUAAAGGCUGGCUGUGGCAGUUUGAAAGAAAAUGACCCCCAAAGGGAGUGACACUAUUAAUAGGAGUUACUUUGUUGAAGUAGAUAUAGCUUUGUUGGAGGAAGUGUGUCACUGUAGGGGCAGGCUUUGAGGUCUCUAUUGCUCAAGUUUCUCUCAGUGCAGCACUCAGGCCACUUCCUGUUGCCCGUGGGAUCAAGAUGCAGCUACUUUUUCCACUCUCAACUCCUUCUACAGCACCAUGUCUGCCUGCACGCCACCAUGUCCCACAAUGAUGAUAAUGGACUUAACCUCUGAACCGGUAAGCCAUCCAGUUAAAUGUUUUUUUAAACUUUAUAAGAGUUUCCAU